rnacentral:rRNA from 1 species
GAUGAACGCUGGCGGCGUGCCUAAUACAUGCAAGUCGAGCGAAUGGAUUAAGAGCUUGCUCUUAUGAAGUUAGCGGCGGACGGGUGAGUAACACGUGGGUAACCUGCCCAUAAGACUGGGAUAACUCCGGGAAACCGGGGCUAAUACCGGAUAACAUUUUGAACCGCAUGGUUCGAAAUUGAAAGGCGGCUUCGGCUGUCACUUAUGGAUGGACCCGCGUCGCAUUAGCUAGUUGGUGAGGUAACGGCUCACCAAGGCAACGAUGCGUAGCCGACCUGAGAGGGUGAUCGGCCACACUGGGACUGAGACACGGCCCAGAAUCCUACGGGAGGCAGCAGUAGGGAAUCUUCCGCAAUGGACGAAAGUCUGACGGAGCAACGCCGCGUGAGUGAUGAAGGCUUUCGGGUCGUAAAACUCUGUUGUUAGGGAAGAACAAGUGCUAGUUGAAUAAGCUGGCACCUUGACGGUACCUAACCAGAAAGCUACGGCUAACUACGUGCCAGCAGCCGCCGUAA